rnacentral:rRNA from 1 species
UACGUAGGGUCCGAGCGUUGUCCGGAAUUACUGGGCGUAAAGAGCUCGUAGGUGGUUUGUCGCGUUGUUCGUGAAAACUCACAGCUCAACUGUGGGCGUGCGGGCGAUACGGGCAGACUAGAGUACUGCAGGGGAGACUGGAAUUCCUGGUGUAGCGGUGGAAUGCGCAGAUAUCAGGAGGAACACCGGUGGCGAAGGCGGGGUCUCU